UAUAUAUCUGAAUUAUUCAAUAUGAAGGUUGUUGUCUUUAGUAGGAAUCAUAAUCCUAACAACAUUUACAUAGUGAAUAGGUACUACACGUGUCAGAUGAAGGCAGAGAGUGUGAGGCAUCUAUUUCUCCAUUGCGUAGUUACAGCAGAUUUGUGGAGUAUAUUUUUCUCAAUUUUUGGACUAACCUGGAUCAUGUCUAAGAGUGUGAGCCAUCUUUUCUCCAUUAUGCAGUUGCAGCAGAUUUGUAGAAUAUAUUUUUCUCGAUUUUUAGACUAACUUGAAAGAGGCCGACGAAAGCUGGUGAUCUUGGAGAGUUGGCAAAUUCAUACUGAAAAAUAUGGACAAAAAAGAAUAGCACAUAUUUUAAUGAGAUCAACUCCAAACCAUGCUUUUAAAGCUAAAUAUUUAUUGAACCUUUUUACUUGACUUAACCAGACACCUGCAACUACUUGUGAUCAUUUUUGGGACUAUAUUUGCUCUUUAGUUUUAACAUAAGUUCAUUUUUGUUUGUAAGCAGACACACUCAAUUUACUUGCAUUUUCUUUUGUUAAUAUAAUUAAUUCGUUUGUUAAUUAAUAUUAAAAGAUAAAUAUAAUAAUUUUUUUAAUCUGUAUAAAAUCAUCCAAAAAAACCCACUUAUUUCAAAUAUUCUGAAUCGAUGGAGUAAUGAUUUCUCGAAAUCAUAAGCAAAAAAGUAGGCAGAAAAAGUUUUAGGUCAAUUUCCCAGUACGCAAGAGGCUCAGAUCUGCAAAGAGAAAUCGGGAAAAAGAGAGGUGACGACGCCAUGGCUGCAAAAUCGUCGGCCGGCCGGUGAUUUGCCAAGCCAAGAUACGGGUCAAAUAGUCUCCAUACCCGACUCAUUUAGCCCAGAAUCCGAAUAAAUAAUCAUCACUGCCUCGAUUUUACGGAUCAAAACAGAAGAACAAUGACCAAAAAUACAGAAACAGAGAAAUAGAGUUUUUGCUGAUGAAAAAACUAAAGAAUUAAUUGUAUGUUUUCUAUGUUCAUCAAUCCAAGGGUUGUUGUUAUAUAUAAAGAGAGGAAAAAUCACUGGCUAAACAGAGAGGGUCAACCACCCUUUGGAUAAAAAUCCCAAAUUCUCUGUUUUUGCCUCACUUUUUUUUUUCCCUUUUCUGGGCUAACUUUUCUUUGCUUGGAAAAUACUUUGGUUUUCACCAAAUG
rnacentral:lncRNA from 1 species